AUUCACAUGUCAAGGGGCCUCAUGGUUAUUCAUUUGCUUUUGUGAAAAACAGCCUACUGAGCACAUCUCAGGUCCCGAGCAUCAGGCACGGAAGCAGAGUCUGCAGAUGUGACCCUGGAUAAAGACCGGCAGUAUGAGGUCAGUGAGGAACAUAGGGGCUGGCAAGCUAAGAUGAACAAGAGGGCUUGCAGAAUCCUUAUUGUUUUAAAAACAACUGAAAAGUCCCCAGAUCUUGUUAGUCAGAAUGCACGAAUGCGACCCUGAAGUGGUAACGCUCACCAGGCCUUCAUAAAACACAGGGGGACUUUGUGCUUCAGUUUCUGUUGCUGAGGGUCAGCGGCUCAGCCUCUGGGAUAGUUUGGAGUUCUCAGGCCACACUGCCUGGGUUCUACCUUGUGGGUCCUAAUCAAUAGACAGCUCACCCCCCUCACCUCUACCAGAUGCUGAUUGGAACCCACUCACCUGCAUCCAGGCUCUGUUCUUGGAGCCGGGGGCACGCGCACCUGCUGAAACUAGAACUGCAAUGGUGGUUUUAAAUUUCUAAGCACAAAAUCCAGGUGCCGAGGAACCGGGCUGGUUUCCUAUGAGCUCAGGACUGUGAGAGUUUCACUGGCUCUUCCAGUCCAUGCCAAAUUGGGGAUCCAGGGCUUGCCUGUGUGGGCCUUCAUCCCUUCCGGAGCCCGCCCUCUAUGGCUCGGCAGCGUGGUUUUGGCCAUGGCAGAACAGCAGACUCUGCUAGACCGUGGCUCCUUUCCAGGCACAAGUCGCCCUCCAUCUUCACAGCUUCCCCAACCAGGAAGCCAUCUGCGCCAUCUGAAUUGCCAGAGUGCUCCUAGGCUUUCUUGGGCUGAUGUUUCACGCCAGGAGCAGCGACUUUCC
rnacentral:lncRNA from 1 species